rnacentral:rRNA from 1 species
CGGCUCAGUAACACGUGGAUAACCUACCCUCAGAUCUGGGAUAACUCCGGGAAACUGGAGAUAAUACCGGAUAAUCCGUGAACGCUGGAAUGCCUUACGGUUGAAAGCUUUAGCGUCUGAGGAUGGGUCUGCGGCCGAUUAGGUAGUUGCUGGGGUAACGUCCCAACAAGCCGAUAAUCGGUACGGGUUGUGAGAGCAAGAGCCCGGAGAUGGAUUCUGAGACACGAAUCCAGGUCCUACGGGGCGCAGCAGGCGCGAAAACUUUACACUGCGCGAAAGCGCGAUAAGGGGACCUCGAGUGCGUGCGCAAAGCGUACGCUUUUCAGAUGCCUAAAAAGCAUCUGGAAUAAGGGCCGGGCAAGACCGGUGCCAGCCGCCGCGGUAACACCGGCGGCUCAAGUGGUGGCCGCUAUUAUUGGGCUUAAAGGGUCCGUAGCCGGACCAGUUAGUCCCUUGGGAAAUCUUACGGCUUAACCGUAAGGCUGCCAAUGGAUACUGCUGGUCUUGGGACCGGGAGAGGCAAGAGGUACCUCAGGGGUAGGAGUAAAAUCCUGUAAUCCUUGAGGGACCGCCAGUGGCGAAGGCGUCUUGCUAGAACGGGUCCGACGGUGAGGGACGAAAGCUAGGGGCACGAACCGGAUUAGAUACCCGGGUAGUCCUAGCUGUAAACGAUGCGAG